rnacentral:rRNA from 1 species
UACGGGGGGGGCAAGCGUUGUUCGGAAUUACUGGGCGUAAAGGGCUCGUAGGCGGCCGACUAAGUCAGACGUGAAAUCCCUCGGCUUAACCGGGGAACUGCGUCUGAUACUGGAUGGCUUGAGUUUGGGAGAGGGAUGCGGAAUUCCAGGUGUAGCGGUGAAAUGCGUAGAUAUCUGGAGGAACACCGGUGGCGAAGGCGGCAUCCUGGACCAACACUGACGCUGAGUGAGCGAAAGCCAGGGGAGCAAACGGG